UUUUUGGAGAGUUUGAUCCUGGCUCAGGAUGAACGCUGGCGGCGUGCCUAAUACAUGCAAGUCGAGCGGAUCUUAGGGAGCU
rnacentral:rRNA from 1 species